GACGAACCGUGCAAACGUUAUUCGGAAUCACUGGGCUUAAAGCGCGUGUAGGCGGGCCGGCACGUCGGUCGCUGAAAUCCCCCGGCUCAACCGGGGAAGCGGCGCCGAUACGACCGGCCUGGAGGGGCGUAGGGGGACCUGGAACUUCCGGUGGAGCGGUGAAAUGCGUUGAGAUCGGAAGGAACGCCCGUGGCGAAAGCGGUUCUCUGGGCCUGUACUGACGCUGAGGAGCGAAAGCGUGGGGAGCAAACAGG
rnacentral:rRNA from 1 species